rnacentral:rRNA from 1 species
CACACUAUCAUUACGUGAAUACAUAGCGUAAUGAAGCGAACCGGGGGAACUGAAACAUCUAAGUACCCCGAGGAAAAGAAAUCAACCGAGAUUCCCCCAGUAGCGGCGAGCGAACGGGGAGCAGCCCAGAGUCUGAAUCAGCUUGUGUGUUAGUGGAACGGUCUGGAAAGUCCGACGGUACAGGGUGAUAGUCCCGUACACCAAAAUGCACAGGUUGUGAACUCGAAGAGUAGGGCGGGACACGUGGUAUCCUGUCUGAAUAUGGGGGGACCAUCCUCCAAGGCUAAAUACUCCUGACUGACCGAUAGUGAACCAGUACCGUGAGGGAAAGGCGAAAAGAACCCCGGCGAGGGGAGUGAAAAAGAACCUGAAACCGUGUACGUACAAGCAGUGGGAGCCUACUUGUUAGGUGACUGCGUACCUUUUGUAUAAUGGGUCAGCGACUUAUAUUCUGUAGCAAGGUUAACCGUAUAGGGGAGCCGAAGGGAAACCGAGUCUUAACUGGGCGUUAAGUUGCAGGGUAUAGACCCGAAACCCGGUGAUCUAGCCAUGGGCAGGUUGAAGGUUGGGUAACACUAACUGGAGGACCGAACCGACUAAUGUUGAAAAAUUAGCGGAUGACUUGUGGCUGGGGGUGAAAGGCCAAUCAAACCGGGAGAUAGCUGGUUCUCCCCGAAAGCUAUUUAGGUAGCGCCUCGUGAACUCAUCUUCGGGGGUAGAGCACUGUUUCGGCUAGGGGGUCAUCCCGACUUACCAACCCGAUGCAAACUGCGAAUACCGAAGAAUGUUAUCACGGGAGACACACGGCGGGUGCUAACGUCCGUCGUGAAGAGGGAAACAACCCAGACCGCCAGCUAAGGUCCCAAAGUCACAGUUAAGUGGGAAACGAUGUGGGAAGGCACAGACAGCCAGGAUGUUGGCUUAGAAGCAGCCAUCAUUUAAAGAAAGCGUAAUAGCUCACUGGUCGAGUCGGCCUGCGCGGAAGAUGUAACGGGGCUAAACUGUGCACCGAAGCUGCGGCAGCGACACUAUGUGUUGUUGGGUAGGGGAGCGUUCUGUAAGCCGUUGAAGGUGUGUCGUGAGGCAUGCUGGAGGUAUCAGAAGUGCGAAUGCUGACAUAAGUAACGAUAAUGCGGGUGAAAAACCCGCACGCCGGAAGACCAAGGGUUCCUGUCCAACGUUAAUCGGGGCAGGGUGAGUCGACCCCUAAGGCGAGGCCGAAAGGCGUAGUCGAUGGGAAACAGGUUAAUAUUCCUGUACUUGGUGUUACUGCGAAGGGGGGACGGAGAAGGCUAUGUUAGCCGGGCGACGGUUGUCCCGGUUUAAGCAUGUAGGCGGAGGCUCCAGGUAAAUCCGGUACCUUUUUAACGCUGAGGUGUGAUGACGAGGCACUACGGUGCUGAAGUAACAAAUGCCCUGCUUCCAGGAAAAGCCUCUAAGCAUCAGGUAACACGAAAUCGUACCCCAAACCGACACAGGUGGUCAGGUAGAGAAUACCAAGGCGCUUGAGAGAACUCGGGUGAAGGAACUAGGCAAAAUGGUGCCGUAACUUCGGGAGAAGGCACGCUGAUAUGUAGGUGAAG